rnacentral:rRNA from 1 species
GACGAACGCUGGCGGCGUGCUUAACACAUGCAAGUCGAACGUGAUUUUUGUGGAAAUUCUUUCGGGAAUGGAAAUGAAAUGAAAGUGGCGGACGGGUGAGUAACACGUGAGCAACCUACCUUACACAGGGGGAUAGCCGUUGGAAACGACGAUUAAUACCGCAUGAGACCACAGAAUCGCAUGAUAUAGGGGUCAAAGAUUUAUCGGUGUAAGAAGGGCUCGCGUCUGAUUAGCUAGUUGGAAGGGUAAAGGCCUACCAAGGCGACGAUCAGUAGCCGGUCUGAGAGGAUGAACGGCCACAUUGGAACUGAGACACGGUCCAAACUCCUACGGGAGGCAGCAGUGGGGAAUAUUGCACAAUGGGGGGAACCCUGAUGCAGCGACGCCGCGUGAGCGAAGAAGGUUUUCGAAUCGUAAAGCUCUGUCCUAUGAGAAGAUAAUGACGGUAUCAUAGGAGGAAGCCCCGGCUAAAUACGUG